GGAGAAGUACUCAAGCGGCUGAAGAGGCGCCCCUGCUAAGGGCGUAGGCUGGGUAACUGGUGCGAGGGUUCAAAUCCCUCCUUCUCCGCCA
rnacentral:tRNA from 1 species